rnacentral:misc_RNA from 1 species
AGUCGUAACAAGGUAUCCGUAGGUGAACCUGCGGAUGGAUCAUUAACAAAGGUGAUUUUGAAGUUGUGUGAACAGUUGGAGGUGGUGGUGGUGGUGGUAUUGGGUGGUACUGGGUGGUAUUGGGUGGUAUUGGGUGUGUUUGUGGGUGGUGUAACCUUGGUCUAACCUUGGUCAACCUCACUCAACCUCACUCAACCUCACUCAACCUCACUCUCCCAACCUCACUCUCCCAACCUCCACCACUCCGUCCCUAUAAUGUAUACAAACUGAUGUCUGCUAGUUUCAAACUAAAACAACUUUUAGCAACGGAUCUCUUGGCUCUC